rnacentral:rRNA from 1 species
UACGUAGGACCCGAGCGUUGUCCGGAAUUACUGGGUAUAAAGGGUGCGCAGGCGGCCGUGUGCGUCAGAGGUGAAAUCUCCGGGCUUAACCCGGAGGGUGCCUUUGAUACGGCAUGGCUUGAGUCCGAGAGAGGGUGAUGGAAUUCCUGGUGUAGCAGUGAAAUGCGUAGAUAUCAGGAGGAACACCGGUGGCGAAGGCGGUCACCUGGCUCGGCACUGACGCUUAGGCACGAAAGCGUGGGGAUCAAAC